rnacentral:rRNA from 1 species
UAUGCAUUGGUGCCAGCCGCCGCGGUAAUACGGAAGGUCCGGGCGUUAUCCGGAUUUAUUGGGUUUAAAGGGAGCGUAGGCCGGAGAUUAAGCGUGUUGUGAAAUGUAGACGCUCAACGUCUGCACUGCAGCGCGAACUGGUUUCCUUGAGUACGCACAAAGUGGGCGGAAUUCGUGGUGUAGCGGUGAAAUGCUUAGAUAUCACGAAGAACUCCGAUUGCGAAGGCAGCUCACUGGAGCGCAACUGACGCUGAAGCUCGAAAGUGCGGGUAUCGAACAGG